GGCCCAACUCUGCCAAUAAUGAUAAUAAUAGCAACAAUGAACAUUUAAGGAGCAUUUACAAUAAAUGAAGCACUAUUCUACUUGUUUGACAUACAUUGCCUCAUUUUACAGAUGAGGAAACAGGCACCAAAGAGAUUAGGUAAUUUGCCCAACUCACACCUAAAUAAAUGGCCAGAAGUCAAACCCAGGCAGUGUGUGUCAGCAUCUACCUUCUUAACCACCAGGCCCCGCUGCCUCUUGCCAGGACUCACUGCCUGAGCACUGACGCUACGCUGCCCAGGACCUUUGCUCCCAGACCCUUGCUCCUCUGAGGAUCAACAUGGUGACCUACCCAGAAGCUUGGCGAAAUGCAGACUCUCGAAAGCUCCAUCCCAGACCUCCAGGAUCAGAUUCUGCAUUGUAGCAAGAUCCCUGUACCUCCUUCCAGAUGCAUGGCAAAGGGCUGCCAUGGUUGGGUGAUUCAGUUGGUCUGAGCAUCAUCCUGGACACCGAACUGUUUUGGGUUCAAUCUCCGGCCGGGGCACGUAAAGGGAGCAACUAAUAGAUGUUUCUUUCCCCUCUCUCUCUGUCUCUUUCCCUUUUCAUCUCUCUCUAAAAUCAAUAAACAUACCCUCAGGUGAGGAUUAAAAUAUAAAAAGGCUAUAAAGGACUUAGCCAACUAGUCCUCCACAAAAGAAAGUCCUGAGACACAUACAGCUACAAUUAGCUCAUAAACUUCCCACUACCACCAAGGCAAGGAGUAUGCUGGUCCUUUCCCUAUACUAAUAAAUAUACAUAUUUCUUGAU